GAGAUGCCCCUGUGGAGCAGGACUUGCUUCAGUGGGGCUUUGGUGCUCACUGAGUCUGCUGCUUGAGAAUAUCACU
rnacentral:pre_miRNA from 1 species